CCUACGGUGUGCAGCCGUGAGGAAUAUUGGUCAAUGGGCGCGCGCCUGAACCAGCCAAGUAGCGUGAAGGAUGACUGCCCUACGGGUUGUAAACUUCUUUUAUACAGUGAUCAAGUGAGGCACGUGUGCCUUUUUGUAUGUACUUUAUGAAUAAGCAUCGGCUAACUCAGUGCCAGCAGCCGCGGUAAUACGGAGGAUCCGAGCGUUAUCCGGAUUUAUUGGGUUUAAAUGGAGCGUAGAUGGGUUGUUAAGUCAGUUGUGAAAGUUUGCGGCUCAACCGUAGAAUUGCAGUUGAUACUGGCAGUUGUGAGUACAGUUGAGGUAGGCGGAAUGCGUGGUGUAGCGGUGAAAUGCUUAGAGAUCACGAAGAACUCCGAUUGCGAAGGCAGCUUACUAAACUGCCACUGACAUUGAUGCUCGAAAGUGUGGGUAUCAAACAGGAUUAGAUACCCGGGUAGUC
rnacentral:rRNA from 1 species